rnacentral:rRNA from 1 species
GUGCCAGCCGCCGCGGUAAGACGAACCGUACGAACGUUAUUCGGAAUUACUGGGCUUAAAGGGUGCGUAGGCGGCGCGGAAAGUAGGGUGUGAAAUCCCUCGGCUCAACCGAGGAACUGCGCUCUAAACUACCGUGCUCGAGGGAGAUAGAGGUGAGCGGAACUGAGGGUGGAGCGGUGAAAUGCGUUGAUAUCCUCAGGAACACCGGUGGCGAAAGCGGCUCACUGGAUCUCUUCUGACGCUGAGGCACGAAAGCUAGGGUAGCGAACGGGAUUAGAAACCCUAGUAGUCC